rnacentral:rRNA from 1 species
GACAGAGGGGGCAAGCGUUGCUCGGAAUCACUGGGCGUAAAGGGUGCGUAGGUGGUGAGGUAAGUCGGAUGUGAAAGCUCGGAGCUCAACUCCGAAAUGGCAUUGGAAACUACCUUGCUCGAGGGUUGGAGGGGGGACUGGAAUGCUUGGUGUAGCAGUGAAAUGCGUAGAUAUCAAGCGGAACACCAGUGGCGAAGGCGAGUCCCUGGACAACUCCUGACACUGAGGCACGAAAGCUAGGGGAGCAAACAGG